UUAUGACGCAAUAAAUCUUUGAAGGGUUCAUUUAAAUGAUUCAUAUAGUGUGACAACUCUAAGGGAUCUAUAGUCGACAUAAAGCCACAAUGGUUAGUACCGGAACCAAACAUUGCAACAAAGUAGCAAUCACCAUAUUUUGGCUCUUUGCUUGAUAGAAUACGAAUUUCGACUAGCCACUACCGAUGGGCGUCAACUUUUUUCUAUUAUGGAUUAUUUCAUGGCAGAAUAAUUUGUCCAGUUUGUUUUUUCAACUUUAGCAGUCGUUUUCAAAACAAUAACAAAAAGCCAUCACUAUACCCCCAAAGAAUAUCAAGAAGAUCUACAUAUGUCACAUUUAAAGC